rnacentral:lncRNA from 12 species
CAUUGCAAAGCAGCUUUAACAUCCAAAUCUACUUCUCCAAAUACAAGAUUUAUGCCUUGAAGAAAGUCUGUCAAUACCUUCUCUCAUAUCCUCUUUCACAAAAUAAACUAUCUACCCUCGCAUUUGAGGACAUAGACCUCUCAAGAAACUGGCAAAAUGUUUUGUUGCUGCGAAGAGGAUGACUGCACAGGAAGAGAACCAAGACCUCAGUGACUUGGGCUUCAGGGACUUUGACGCUGAAUCAAAGGGAGAUAUAUCGGAAAAGUGCAUGAAUGAAAAAAAAAAGGAACAGAAGGAAAGAAACAAACCUACAACAACAACAACAACAAUAAAAGGCAUAAAAAUAGAAGACUGAGU